ACUCCUACGGGAGGCAGCAGUGGGGAAUAUUGCACAAUGGGGGAAACCCUGAUGCAGCCAUGCCGCGUGUGUGAAGAAGGCCUUCGGUUGUAAAGCACUUUCAGUAGGGAGGAAGGUAGUGUAGUUAACACCUGCAUUAUUUGACGUUACCUACAGAAGAAGCACCGGCUAACUCCGUGCCAGCAGCCGCGGUAAUACGGAGGGGUGCGAGCGUUAAUCGGAAUUACUGGGCGUAAAGCGCAUGCAGGCGGCCUGUUAAGUCAGAUGUGAAAGCCCGGGGGCUUAACCUCGGAAUUGCAUUUGAAACUGGCAGGCUAGAGUCUUGUAGAGGGGGUAGAAUUUCAGGUGUAGCGGUGAAAUGCGUAGAGAUCUGAAGGAAUACCGAGUGGCGAAGGCGGCCCCCUGGACAAGACUGACGCUCAGAUGCGAAAGCGUGGGAGCAAACAGGAUUAGAUACCCUGGUAGACUGUCA
rnacentral:rRNA from 1 species